GGAGAAUCGGAUGUAACUUUUUCCGUAUAUGUCCGUGGAUAUAUUAUUUGCCUGAUUCCGAGUCCGUAUGAGAAAGUUACGCCUAUUUUAAUAAAUGACA
rnacentral:rRNA from 1 species